GCCGCGGUAGCUCACUGGUAGAGCGCUGCCCUGAAGAGGCAGGCGUAGGCAGUUCGAUUCUGCCCCGCGGCA
rnacentral:tRNA from 1 species